CCGGCAGGGCGGUGGUGGAGCGCCGCCUGGCGGCCUGCGUGAACAUCGUCCCCCACGUCACCUCCAUCUACGCGUGGAAGGGGCAGAUCGAGGAGGACGCCGAGGUGCUGCUGAUGAUCAAAACACGCAGCUCCCGAAUCCCGGCCCUGGCAGAGUUUGUCCGGUCCGUGCACCCCUACGAGGUGGCUGAGGUCAUCGCGGUGCCGAUCCAGCAGGGGAACCCCCCUUACUUGAAGUGGGUCAAGGAGACGGUGCC